rnacentral:misc_RNA from 1 species
UGUUUCUAAGCAUAAGAUAUGAAAUCCAUGUGAAUCAGGGAAAUAAAAUUACUGUUGAGAGCACUACUGAUUAAAAAUACAAAUGUGGUUUGUGUGAAAAUUGCUGGCGUUUAAACUCUAGAGGGAUAUUCAUGUUGUGCAAUGGUGAUAUAUUUUUUUUCCAUACUUGAUGGGAGUUUCUCGGAGUUCUGCUUGAAGCAAUCCAGAUUAGUUGUUGAAGUGCUUCUGAUAAAGAAUCUUUGAUCAUUUGAUUGAUCCCAAUCAUGAGUUCAUUGGCAGAUUCCUCUAAAUCUAUGAAGAGUUGUUGCAAGUAGAUAUACUUGAUUGCCUUUCAGAGUCGGAACAAGCAGAUGGCACUAGGGACAUGAAUUCUAACAAUGCAGGUGUUACAGACUCGCCUUGAUGUAGCAGAGGGAAUUGAUGGGUCCUCGUCCUCAAAGAUUUGAGGGUGGGAAGGGAAAAAAAACAAGGUCUGUGCUGUUUUGGGGCUUAGACUGUGGGAGAUUAGGAGAGUUUCUUAAAGGCAAUUUUACAUACAAUUUGGUCCAACUUUCUAAAUAUUUUCUUGGCAUUUUUGUUGUUUUCCUUUAUAGCAACCACACAAGUACUAAUCAUCUGCUCAAGCCAUUUUGUGUAGUAAUAUCCCUGUGUUACAGUUUCUGUUACCCAGUAAUGGAAAUAAAAUAUCAAAUUAUGCUUGUUUUAAAAAAAAAAAAAUGCCAAGAAAAUAUUUAGAAAGUU